GGGUGAGUAACGCGUGAGAAACCUGCCUUUCACAAAGGGAUAGCCUCGGGAAACUGGGAUUAAUACCUUAUGAUACUAAUUCUUCGCAUGAAGAAUUAGUCAAAGCGUAAAGCGGUGAAAGAUGGUCUCGCGUCCCAUUAGUUAGUUGGUGAGGUAACGGCUCACCAAGACCGCGAUGGGUAGCCGGCCUGAGAGGGUGAACGGCCACACUGGAACUGAGACACGGUCCAGACUCCUACGGGAGGCAGCAGUGGGGAAUAUUGCACAAUGGAGGAAACUCUGAUGCAGCGACGCCGCGUGAACGAUGAAGGCCUUCGGG
rnacentral:rRNA from 1 species